rnacentral:lncRNA from 1 species
AUUACUGUUUGCUCAACAGCUUGGGAACCAUCAGGUAGAAGAACAAAGGGCACAUUUCAGGCUCAGAGAAACAUGAAAAGGGUAAAUGAACUUUGUGUGAAUCUUCCAGCUCUCAUGAUACUUUCUCUGGCCUCUUCCCCAGGAUGCUUUAUCCAAAAAAGAAAAAAAAACAAAAGCAAACAAGCUCUCAGACCCACCUCAGCUAUAUUGGAAUGAAAGUGCUGAAAAGAAAGGAAAUUUGUUUUCAAUACGGACUUCUGGUAAGGACUCUAUACCAUGGCUCAGGGAUUCUAGAUUGGGGCUGCUGUGGGCUAACAGGUCCCCUUCCAGCUCUACACUAUGCCGAGAGGCAUUCUGGGCUGCCCCUACGUUGACUCCAGGUUAAGCAGAUGAAGAGAGAAAAGCACAGAUGAAGACUGUGACUUGUCCAACGUCUAUUAGUACGUGGCAAAAGCAGAUUUGAAAACACCUAUUUUAAACUCCAUCACCUAUACUCUCAACUACUCUGCCCACUACUCUGGUGCAUUUUCUCCUGAAGCAGCUCACCAUGGAGUCUUCCUACAAACGAGUUAAGAAGAGAAGAGACUGAUAAUCUCCUGCAAACGAGUUAAGAAGAGAAGAGACUGAUAAUCUACUGUUAUCUGUGUCAGGAAACAAUGCAGACCCAAUUAUGUAAUUCACUGAAGCUUUGAAAAUGGAAAAGUCUAUGUGCUUAAAGUAAAAACUGCAUAAUAAUCUGCAAGAGCUGUAAAUAGGGCUCUUGAGGAGAUUCGUUUGUGCCCUGAUUUCCUGUGCUGACAUUAGACUGGCACUGCUAACAGUGUCAACGCAGUCUGCACAAAUGAUUACACAGACUGCUUGGAAAAGAAUCAAAAUGAAUAAUUUCAUAGUUACUCCAAAGCACUGUCAUGGUGCCUACAUCAGAUACAGUGAUGAAGGUGACACCUCAUACAUACGCAUAUCUGGGGUGGGCAGGGAU